CAUCUUCUCGGGCGGUAUCUGACGUGUUUACUCCGGUGUUUAGCGGCUUGUGUGGUCGGCGGUCCGGCAGGGUGGCAGCGGCGGCGUCGCGGGGACCCAGCCCGGAUCUGGAGGUGCCGAGCGAAGCCUGGAGGGGGGAGGGGCCCCGGGCUGAGAGGGGAAUCCCCCGCCGGGGUCUUUUGGGCGUGCCCAAGAACUCCAUUGCCCCGUCCCCGCCGUAGGACCAGACUCUUCCUUUCACUGCCCCCUGCAGUCCUCGGACUGUCAAAGUCCCCAAAUCCGGCCUUCAGGGCCCCCAGCCCACAGGGCUCGCGGAUUCCAAGCCCCGCUCCCCGCCACUUCUGUCCCUUCCAGGACACUGUGCGAUGCAGUGGGGGGGCCGCCCUCUCCCUCGAGCCUUACCCACUAAUUCAACCCCUCCAACUUGGGGGCCCUUCCAAGUCCAGGAGGUCGUCCUUGCCUCCCUUCCUUGGAGAAUCUCUCCACCUGUGGAGGCUCUCAC
rnacentral:lncRNA from 1 species